GACGAACGCUGGCGGCGCGCUUAACACAUGCAAGUCGAGCGAAGCGGCGGACGGGUGAGUAACACGUGAGUAACCUGCCUUAGACAUUGGGAUAGCCUCGGGAAACCGGGAUUAAUACCAAAUGGUCUAAGAUGGACUCGUGUCCCAUUAGCUAGUUGGUGAGGUAACGGCCCACCAAGGCGACGAUGGGUAGCCGGCGUGAAGAGGUGAACGGCUACAUUGGAACUGGGAAACGGUCCAAACUCCACGAGAGGCAGCAGUGGGGAAUAUUGCACGAUGGAGGGAAGUCUGAUGCAGCGACGCCGCGUGAACGAAGAAGGCUUUAGAGUCGUAAAGUUCUUUUAUAUGGGAAGCGGUACCAUAAGAAAAAGCCCCGGCUAACUACGUGCCAGCAGCCGCGGUAAUAC
rnacentral:rRNA from 1 species